rnacentral:rRNA from 1 species
AUUGAACGCUGGCGGCAGGCCUAACACAUGCAAGUCGAACGGUAACAGGAAGCAGCUUGCUGCUUUUCUGACGAGUGGCGGACGUGUGAGUCAUGUCUGUGAAACUGCCCGAUGGAGGGGGAUAACUACUGGAAACGGUAGCUACUACCGCAUAACUUCUCAAGCCCAAAGAGGGGUACCUUAGGGCCUCUUUCCAUCGGAUGUUCCCAGAUGGGAUUCGCUAUUAGGUGGGGUAACGGCUCACCUAGGCGACGAUCCCUAGCUGGUCUGAGAGGAUGACCGGCCACACUGGAACUGAGACACGGUCCAGACUCCUAAGGGAGGCAGCAGUGGGGAAUAUUGCACAAUGGGCGCAAGCCUGAUGCAGCCAUGCCGCGUGUAUGAAGAAGGCCUUCGGGUUGUAAAGUACUUUCAGCGGGGAGGAAGAGAGUAAAGUUAAUACCUGUGCUCAUUGACGGUACCCGCAGAAGAAGCACCGGCUAGCUCCGUG